rnacentral:lncRNA from 1 species
GCCUUGCUAGCGACAGUGUAAGUAAAAGAGAUUUCCAUUUCAUUUUAUAAACACACUGGAUGUAUAUAUGUGGCUGUAUAUAUUGUAUAUUAUGUCAUAUCAUGUAUGUGUUGUAUAUAGACUGAUAUUUAGCGUGCGGUAACGGAGACGUUGGAGAGAUUUAACAUUUCUCUAUUUGUGGUUUUGUUCAGUUUUUUUUAGAUUUAUUUUAAUUUUUAAAUUUUUUUUUGAGAUUGCUGAAAACCAUUUUAUUAAAGGCGCACACACAUGUAUAUAUGUGUGUAUAUAAAUAUAUACACACAUAUGUAUAUAUAUUUACAUUAGCGCGCACACAAUGUAUAUGUGUGUAUAUAUUAUAUAUAUAUAUGUGUGUGUGUAAAUAUACACACACUCACACACAUAGAAAGGUGUGUAUAUUUAAAUAGUUAUAUAAUGACAUCAAUAUAUACAUGCGUAUGUGUGUAGAUGUGUGUGAAUAUGAAAUUACUAAUCGACGAAGAAGACUUAGAACUUUUAAUUCAGUUUUGAUCGUUCGUAGAAGUGUGUGUAUGGAGAUAUAUAUGUGUGUGUGUGUAUCCAUGCUUGUGUGUAUAUGUAUACAUUAGAGUAUAUAUAUAAAUAUGUAUGCGUGUAUGCACGCCCUUGGUUGGAACAAUAAAUGUGUUUCUGUGUGCGCGCGCGUGUAUAUAUAUAUAUAUAUGUGUGUGUGUGUGUAAUCUGUACAUAUAUCUGUUCGUAGUUUAUUUGUUGCCAAAUGAGAAGGAAGUGAAAUAUAAAUUGUCGCUAUUGUUUAAUCCCAGGUAAACCCUGAUUGUUCACUUCUGUUAUUGAAGGCGUUCCAACUGCAACCAUCCCUCCUUUCAUGUUUUAUAUCUACCUUGGAGUAUACUGGUCAACAUGUUGGUCUCUUGAAAGACCGGUAGGUUAUGAUUGGAGUGAAUUUGGCUGUUAUUUUCAGCAGGUCGUGUGACCGCCUACUGGUACAUGAAGUAGUUUUACACCGUGGGUGUCUGUGUGGGUGUGCAGAUAUUUUUAAAUCACACACACACACAUAUAUACACGUGUGUCUCUGCAUCUAUGUAUGUAUAUAUGCAUGUGUUUGUGUGUGGCUGUCACACUCAUACACAAAGAAUAUAAGACAGUCCAAACAUGAACUGAAGGGUCAUUCGAAACAUUCAAGUACAUUAUAAAAUUUAUUCUCGCCAUACUAAAGGCUGACAGUGAUUUCGAAGGUUCGCCGAUCAUAGCUUUGUCAGAUUGUGAGUGUGUGUGUGUACAUACAAAUCUUGGGAAUUUUCUUAAAAAUGGGACAAAUGAAUCGCUUCUUUAUUAAACAAUUAUAUAUUUAUACACGUGUGUAUAUAAUUACACAUUACACACAUACAUACAAGUAUACACACACACAUAAAUAUACACACACACAUAAAUAUACAUGUAUGUGUGUGUGUAUGAGGUAGUCUUUGUUUACAUCAUAUUCCCCUUUAUAAAAAUCAAUACAUCUAUAUAUCUAGUGUGUAUACAUGUAUACGUGUGUAUUAUGGCUGUGUAAUCUGUAUGUGCCUACAAAAUAUUUUUCCUAUAAAUUUUCGUUUCUUUCGAAUAUUUCUUCCUUCUCUCGUUCUUUUCAUAAACUUGUAUCACCCAUCCAUCCCUCUAUCUAUCUAUCUACCUAUCCAUCCAUCCCUCUGUCUAUCUAUCCACUCAUCCCUCUAUCUACCUAUCCAUCCCUCUAUCUAUCUACCUAUCCAUCCAUCCCUCUAUUUAUCUAUCCAUCCACCCACCCCUCUGUCUAUCUAUCUAUCUAUCUAUCCACUCAUCCCUCUGUCUCUCUCAAUCUAGCUAUCUAUCCCUCCGUCCGUCCGUCCGUCCGUCCGUCCGUCCGUCCGUCCGUCCGUCCAUCCAUCCAUCCAUCCAUCCAUCCAUCCAUCCAUCCAUCCAUCCAUCCAUCCAUCCAUCCAUCCAUCCAUCCAUCCAUCCAUCCAUCCAUCCAUCCAUCCAUCUAUCUAUCUAUCUAUCUAUCUAUCUAUCUAUCUAUCUAUCUAUCUAUCCGCAUGUGUGUGAGUGUAUGAGUACACAUACAUGUGUAUAAUAAGUGUGUGUGUUUAUAUUUGUAUAUGUGCUCAAGUUGUAUGUGUUAUGUCAGUUGUGUGUGCGUGUUGAGUUUUUAUAAUAUAUAUAUAUAUAUAUGUGUGUGUGUGUGUGUAGAGAGAGGAGAGAGAGAUUAUAGUGUGUGCGUUUGUAGUUAAAGCUAUAGUCUUUACAUUGAUGUUUCUUCCACCCAUAAGUUCCACAUCUUCGUCUGUGUUUUCUUCGGUAACUGGUUUAGUUUUUCUUCUCUCCUAAUCUUAUAUCUAUCGUUCACACACACACAUACACUCACGUAUUUAUUUAUUUUCAUUUCUUAACUGUUCACGAAUCUUUUGUGUUGCUAAAAUCUUCGAAAUCUGACAAUUUCUCAGCACCAACCCCUAGUAACCGCCAACAACACCAAUACGGCCCCACCCGCAUUCUGAAUGACGGGGUACAGCGGCACCCUGAUUGACACACACACACACACAACAAUCACGUACUUUAUUUCUGCCGCUUUCGUUUGAUUUUACAAAAUACACAAAUCUAACGUGGAUUAAGAACAUCUAUACACAUACAUACGCAUUAACGUAUAUAAAUAGUACGUGUAUGUAUACACACACACACACAAGCAUAAGCUUUCUUUGUUUUUCCGCUCUUUUUUAAUCAUACACAUCCGUAUAUAUCUGCAAAUAUAACUAUAUAUAUAUAUUCUCCGACACAUCGUCAUAUGCGAGACACACACACAAUCAUGUAAACUCAAAACGUAAACACACAGCGAUAUAUAUUCCAACACGCACACACAUGUAUGCAUAUAUACAUAUAGUCAUACACACGCACAUAUCUACCCCGUUUAUAUAUAUAUAUAUACAUACAUACGUAUACACACAUAUACAAACUACAUAUUUUAAAAAAUUAAUAUAGAAGCUUUAAUUAAGCCUAAUUAAAUCCACUAAUCAACGUACAUUCUCACCCUCUUUCUCUCUGUCUUUGUUUUUUUCUCUUUCUAUCUAUUUUUGUUUUUUACUCUGCCUUUCUCUCUCUCUCUCUCUCUCUCUCUAACUGUCGGACUACGCUCUUCGCUCUAUCUCUCUAAAUUCCUCUCUCACUCUGUAUUUCUCUAUCUAAAUACUUCUCUCUCUCCCUCCCCCCCUCCUCCCACCCUUUCCUUACAAAAUUAAGCAGACUUCAAAAUUCUCCAGUUUCACAAUAACCAAUAAAAAUUCACCGUUUUUUUUUAUUCCCCCCUCCCUCCCUACCUUCACUCUCUGAAUUAAUUAUUUCAGAGGAGAGAGAGAAGAAAAAGAUUAGGGAGAAAGAGAGAGAGAGAGAAGGAAAAGAAUAGAGAGAAAGAGAGCGAGAAGAAAAAGAUAAGAGAGAGAGAGAACGAGAUAAAAGGGGGUGGUAUUAGAGGAAAUGAGACAUCACUUCCACAUACAUAAAUAAACACACAUAUACACACACACACUUUUUUCAUCUUAUUUCUCCUGCGUGUGUGUCAGAAUAUGUAUAUCAUAUUUGUGUAUGUGUCAUACGUACACUGUGUGUGUGUAUGUAGUAUUUAAAUGUAUAUGUAAGUUAGAUAUGUGAGUAUAUAGAAUUAAAAUUUGUAGAAGCAGCCUUAUUUUCCUUAUUUUUUAAAUUUCAUUUUUAAUUUUCUGUGUCAUAUUUCCUUCGCAUGGACAUAAGGAGUUUAAUUAAAAUGUUUCCGGCUUAUAAUAUUGAUUGUCUGCUUCUCUUUUUCUUCAUCCUCUCCUUCCCUCUUUCUCUUCUUCCUCUCCCCCCUCUCUCUCCCUUCCCCUCAUUCUCUGUUUGACUGCCUGUCUGUCCGCCAGUUUAGAAACCAAAAAAAAAGAAGAAACCACUACUACCACCACCACCACCACCACCACUACUACUACUACUACAAUUUCCUGUAUUGUUCACAUAAUUCAAGUCUUUCUUUCCAUUUCAAUAAUGGAAUUAUAAUUAUAUACAAAUAUAUACAUAUACAUACACACACACAUAUAUAUAUAUAUAUAUAUAUAUAUGAGCAGGAGGUAAGGUUAUUUAUAUAUUUCUCUCUCUUUCAGAUACACAUGUGUGUGUGUGUGUGUGUGUGUGUGUGUGUGUGUGUGUGUGUAUGUAUGUAUGUGUAUAUAUAUAUAUAUAUAUAUAUAUAUAUAUAUAUGUAUUACUUAUUAUACUCAGAAAAUAUUGACUUUUAAUAUAUAUAUUGUGUGUGUGUGUGUGUGUGUGUGCAUGUAUGUCUCUUUUGACUCCCUUAGACGAUGCUACAACUUUUCCCCUUCUAUAUUAACUACAUACACACACGCACACUCAUCUACAUGUGUGUGUAUGUAUGUAUAUAUAUAUAUAUACAUACACACAGACAGACAGAAAGAAAAAGCGAGAGUGUGUGUAUAUGUAUCUAUCUAGAUAUGCAUCUACACUCACACUCAUGUGUGUAUAUGUGUGUGUAGGUGUCUUAUUCACUGUUAUUCUACACAAACACAUGAUAUCCGUUAUUGAAAGAAUGCCAAAUUAACAAUCUAAAAUGGUUUUGUAGCCACAGGCAGGAAGCCAAAGAUCUACAAAGAAAGGGAGGAUGUGCGUAGUUGUGACAUUCAUGGCUUUCUCAAAGAUGUUAACUGGUAUGGAUGUGGACUUAAGUUUGUUUAGCACUACUUCAGGUUCAAUUCUACUGUGCAGUACAUCUGUGGGAAAGUAUCUUGUACCAUAUCAUUGAAUUGAUUAAAAUCUUAGGAAUGAUUUGACUGAUGCAAAUUUUGUGGAAACCCAUCAGAAAAUCUGUAUCCACUGUUGGGUGGUGGAGUUAAUUCACCAUCUAGUUUUACAAACACCACCACCACUACCCAAUCCUUGGCUGUUUUUUUGUAGCAGAUUAUUCCUUGUUACAGACAUUCAUGCCAAGUCUCUGGUGUAAAGCUUCCUGUUUUGGAAGGUCCCUGUGAAGGGCCAUAGCUACAUCCCUUCUUUCUCUGACUAAAACUUUGCUUAGCCUUCAUUCACGAGUAAUUAUGAUUUGGUAACAUUACCAUGCUUUGGCUAAUUGUUUUAGGGGGCCUGUAUAAUCACAGGUAGACAUAGCCACCUUCUUGGCCCUCCUUAUCCUUCAUCCAGCAGAUCAUUCAGAAUAUGAGAACUGAGGUGAGAAACAGCUGCCCCAGCAAAUGACUGGUACUUAUUUUUUGCUGAGUAAACUGGAGCAAUGGGAAAUGAAGUGACUUGCUGAAGGUCACAAUCAUAAGGUCCUGGAAUCAAAGCCACGACCCUUAUGAUUGUGAGCCCAACACUCUAAACACAAGUCACUGGUGACCUGAGCCAAGCUGACCCAAGCCACCGUUGACCUUCAGAAACUCACACCUUUUUAUGGCUUUUGGGAAAUCCCUGAAGACUUAAAAGUUUCAAUGUAGAACAUGAAGAGGAAAACAAAGUGUGUUGGACUCUUUUUUUUAACAAGUUAACCUUUUUGUCACCAUAUUUCUGUUGAAACACAUGUUUUUGUUUUAAUUAAUUUUGAAAAUAAUGAAAGCUUUAGUCAAAUUAUUCUGUCACUAUUAAGCUUGUAUUUUGAAUACAAAUUAAGAUGAAAUUUUAAGUGAGGAUUUUUAUUUAGAUUAUUUUAAAUCAGGAAGUUUUAUCAUAGAACCAGAAGUAGUCUCAGGUACAGCAAAGGAGUCAAACAUGCCCUCCACCUUGAUGCAAGCUGAUAUUUACUCAUCCACUUUUAUUUUCUCUAUAACUUUGUACAUUCAAUACAACAUGUUGUGCACAUCAUGUAGCAACGCACUCUUUAGACAUGUUUUCUGCUCCUUAAACACAGGUAUGGCUUUGUGGUCCUGUGGAUACAGGGUUUGCCUUAUGUCCAUGUGGUUUUGCGAUCAAUCUCUGUGCCACCUUAGGCAAAUGUCUUCUAUAGCUUCAGAUGGACCAAUGUCUUGUGAUUGGAAUUGGUCAAUGGAAAUUGUAUAGAAGCCUGUUAUGUGCGUGUGUGUGUGUGUGUGUGUGAAGGUAUUUGGCUCAUGAUCGUAAGGUCAUGAUUUCGAUUCCUGGUAGCACACUUUGUAUCACGUUGCUCUACUCCAUUCAGCUGAUAAAAACGAGUGAUACCAGAAAUUCAGAGGGGCCAGGCUUGACACACUCUGUGUCACACUGAAUCUCCCUGAGACCCAAGGGUAUGUUUGUCUAUUGUGUGCUCUGCCACUUGCACGUUAAUUUCAUGAACAAGCUGUUCUGUUGAUUGGAUCAAUUGGAGACCCUCAUUUUCAUAACCAGCAGAGUGGUGCCAAUGUGUGAUUUGGAAAUGUAACAGAAUGGGUAAAGUAAUAUUGCUGUGGGGAGUGGACAGUCACUAGAUUGUGGCCAUGUUGGGGCACCACCUUAAAGAGUUCUUUGUCGAAUGAAUCAACACCAGGAAUUAGAUUUCUUUAAAGCUUGAUACUUAUUCUAUCAAUGUCCUUUGUAUGUAUAUAUAUAUAAAAGACUUUUUUCUAUUCCCUAAUACAUCUGUUUGUUAUACUAAUACAUCUGUUUGUUUUGUACACCACCUGUCUUCGUCUUAUGUUUUUUUCGUAAACUCUCCCUAUAUAUCUAUAUAUAUGAAACUUAAGGAGUGGCUGUGUGGUAAGUAGUAUGCUUACCAACCACAUGGUUCCGGGUUCAGUCCCACUGUGUGGCACCUUGGGCAAGUGUCUUCUACUAUAGCCUCAGGCCGACCAAAGCCUUGUGAGUGGAUUUGGUAGACAGAAGCUGAAAGAAGCCCAUUGUAUAUAUGUAUAUAUAUGUGUGUGUCUGUGUUUGUCCCCCCAACAUCGCUUGGCAACCAAUGCCAGUGUGUUUACGUUCCCGUAACUUAGUGGUUCGGCAAACGAUCCUGGUAGAAUAAGUAUUAGGCUUACAAAGAGUAAGUCCUGGGGUCAAUUUGCUCAACUAAAGGCGGUGCUCCAGUAUGGCCAUAGUCAAAUGACUGAAACAAGUAAAAGAGAAAGACACCAUUCUGCUCAAAUAAUGGAACUGCGGAUACAAUAUCUUUAAGUAUCUCACCUCUAUUUUCAUCCCUCUACUUCACUCUGUAUUUCAUAUCUUCUCUAUAAUAACUAUUGCUUAAUUUUCUCACACCGUCUCUGAUGAAGGGAUAUAUAAAAUAUCCCGGAAACAGCUGUAAGACCUCUUUAUAAAAGUUCCGAAAUCUUCCACAGCCUUGGAUUUUUAUCUCAUUCUGUUAAUUUUUUAUAUACACACAUGCUGAUAUAUGACCUACGUUGGACUUCUCAUUUGCAUAAUCACCGAACCUGGAGCUUAACUAUAGUCUGUCCAUAGCACUUACUCAGCAUUACCGGACAUCUUUGGGUGUUCUUGACACCAUUACCUCUCAUAACCUCGAUAUACAUAUAUAUGUGUGUGUGUAUAUAUAUGUGUGUGUGUGUGUGUGUGUGUAUAUGUAUAUAUAUAUAUAUAUAUAUAUAUAUAUAUAUGUGUGUGUAUAUAUGUAUGUAUAUAUUACAUGUGUAUAUAUAUGUAUUUCGUGGCACUCUGUCAGUUACGACAACGAGGAUUCCAGUUGAUCCGAUCAAUGUAACAGCCUGCUCGUGAAAUUAACGUGUAAGUGGCUGAGCACUCCACAGACACGUGUACCCUUAAUGUAGUUCUCAGGGAGAUUCAGCGUGACACUGAGUGUGACAAGGCUGGCCCUUUGAAAUACAGGUACAACAGAAACAGGAAGAAAGAGUGAGAGAAAGUUGUGAAAGAGUACAGCAGGGUUCACCACCACCCCCUGCCGGAGCCUCGUGGAGCUUAAGGUAUUUCCCCUCAAUAAGUACUCACAAUGCCCAGUCUGGGAAUCGAAACCGCGAUCCUAAAACCGCAAGUCCGCUGCCCUAACCACUGGGCCAUUGCACCUCCGCAUAUAUGUAUAUAUAUAUAUUAUAUGUAUAUAUAUGUAUAUGUAUAUAUGUACAUGUAUAUAUGUAUAUAUAUAUAUAUAUAUGUGUAUAUAUAUAUAUAUGCAUAUAUAUGUCUGUGAAUGUGUGUUGACAUUUUAUGUUUUUGCAUGAGCAAAGAAACCUUAGUGCCAUGUUUAAAUUCCCCCUGUGAACAGUACCAAAGCUCUGUACUUUCAAAUUUUAGCAGAAGAAAGAAAGAAAUCUUAUAAAACAGCUGAGGGUUGGUGACUGGAAGGGCAUCCAGUUAUAAAAUAUUGCCUCAUAUAAAGCAGCCUUCCAACCCUUACCAGCAUGGAAAAGCAGACAUAAAAACGGGUGAUUGAAUCAUGUAACAUCAUGUUGCAACUUAUUCCUUGGACAUGUCAUGCCAUCAUGUAGCAUAACAUGGAUCAUUUCACCUACCAUGUAACAACAUAUUCCUUAUACAUGUUAUACACCUUAACCCUUUAGCAUUCAGAUUACUUUGCCAAAUAUAUUGCCAUUGUUUUGAAUUUAAUCCUGCUUUAUUCCCUGGCUUUGAGAUUUCAAUGAUGCGAUUGUUUAUUCUUUGAAUAACAUUGUAAGGGAGGUGUGAGAAGCCUGAUCUGGCUGGUUUGAACAUGGACCAGGUAGAAUAUUUAGGCUAGAUACGACUGGUUUAAAUACUAGAGGGUUAAAGGUAUCGCACUGCCAUGUAGUAGCACUUAACCUCUCAUAUACUUUAUAUUCCAUGAGUAUGUCAUACCACCAUGUAGCAACUUAUCCUUCAUUCUAUGUUUAUACUCAGGUAUUUUAGAGCACCAUGCAGCAAUACACUCCUUACAUGUCGCACAAAUCAUGCAUCAUCUUAUUCCUGAGACAUGGAGCCUCAUCACCAUGUAGCCAAAUACUCCAGAGAUGUUAUACAUGGUUUGACAUUUACGCAAUAACAACACUGCUGCUGUUGUUGUUUAACCCCAAUUGGACCCUUUUCUGAGAAGACCUAUCAUGUAAGAUUAUACAGGGUUACAUUAUCUAAUGUGUCCUUGUUAUGUAUUUAGCCCUUCUGUUACCAACCCAUCUAAGACCACAACUCCUUGAUUAGUGAUAUAAACUUCCUUUUUUAAAGUGAUCAAAUUUAAAAAAAAAAGGGGAUUUUAAUUAAAAUUUCAUGUUCAUUUAUGUUUGAAAUCCCAGCUUAAUUCUGAGACUGAUCCUUGGUUCUAAAUUAAAACCUCAUGUUAAUUAAUGUUUCAGACAUCAGCUUAAUGAUGACAGUUGUUUUUACUAAAUUCCUCAUUAUUUUUAAAAUUAAGUGAAACAAAAACAGUGGAUUUCAAUACAAAUGAAGUCAUAAAAGGGAGAUCUGGUUAUGAUUUCUUGUAGGAUGAACAUCCACAUAGAGGCUUCUUCACUGGUUCAAAAAGGAAACCCUUUCUAAAUAAAGUUCCUUGAAUGUUGUCUGCACAUUUCAUAACCUUACAACUAUGCACUGACUAUAUCCUCCUCCCUAGGGAACAGAAUUCUUCAUCAUUUUAUGUCUGCUUUCUAUGCUGGCAUUGGUUAGAUGAGUCAUUAAGGUCCAAGUGUGUUCUUAUUCAUAAUUAGUGUUCUUCUAGAUAUGUUGGAAGACCACAUCUGGCCUCUAUGUUUCAUUUUUGGCUCGAGAGUCUAAGUUGCAUGUCCUUCCUAUUAUUGAGCAUCUCACAGAAUAUUUUGGAUGCAUUUUAUCUUGGCACCAGCAUUAGAGAGGUUGUUAUGUUCUUGACAAGAUGAAAGGAUCUUGUCAACCCCACAUCAUCUCUGCUCAUUCACCAACAACUUCACAAAGUGCACCAGUGGAGUCGCCAAGUACCCCAUAUGAUUUAAAAGAGUCCUCAUUACUCUAUGAUGUAUUUUAUUUGUUCAGAGCAGCGUGGCCCAGAAGGAGAAUAGAAGAGAGAGUGUGUUGACUAAAGAAAAAAAAGUGAAUAGGAAAAGGGAACGAGAGAGAGAGAGAGAGAGGGUUAAUUGUGGAGGACUGAAGGUGGACAAUGGAGAGAGUGAGUGAUGGCUGUUGGUGAAGAGUUAACAGGUAAAAUCUGUAGGCUACAACCUGUUUGAAUUCUUUAUAAUACUAGAAAUCGUUAACCAACUAAAACAUACCUGUGCAACGCAAGUUUUAAUUAAACGUUUUUCUUUCUUCUUUUGUUUUUCUCUUUCACAGCAUCCUUGCAGGAUUUUUGAGAAGCCAUCCAGUAUCAGAAGUUUUUGAUGAAGAAAAUGAUGAUAGAAAUUUUUAAAGUGAAAGUUUCAAACUAUUUAUCUUCGGCUGGAAUAGUUUCCUGAAGACAUGAAAGACUGGUGCUGCAUCAUAUUUAUAUAAUUUCUUUCUUUGUUUGCAUUUACUAAUUAUUUAAGAUCAGGGAAAGCAAACUAAGGUUUGCUAACGAAUUUGAAAAAAAAGAAAUCAAAUAUAUAUGUAUUAAUAUAUAUAUUAUAUAUUAUAUAUAUGUAUAUAUAUAUCUAAAAUCAUGGCUAGUACAGAAAGUACA